UACAAAUAUACUGAUUAGUCUGUUGUAACUUGCUGAUGCAUCGUCAAUCCAGCUGUUUUCCGAAAGUACACAUGAAUUUAGCCACAGACAGACAUGAACUCUGAGGAGUAAGGUAGAGUUUCAAUAUGUUCCUUUCUCUCUCUCUCAUUUUUAAAGAUAUGAUUGUAUCUUAGGAAAAUAUGAAAGGUCAUUCCUAAUAUCCAGGGAACAUCAUCACAUCUGACACCGUGUCUCUGCAGCGCGUGAAGUCACUGUCUAGUUCCCCUUUGCCUAUAUUUUUAGUGCAAGUUCGCUUGGAGAAAUGGUCAGUAUAUGAGGGAGCAUAUAGCAUAUAGCAUGUAGAAGUGGGGUCCUCAGGAGUUACAGUGAGCUUUUAUAUAGAGCAGUAGUAGCUUAUUGAGCCACUUAGUAAGAAAUGUGUUAAAAAAAUUCUUAAAGGAGUGUGAAAUAGGAGUGCAUCUACUUGAAGCAAGAGGUAAAAUACAGAUUGUGGGAAUUUGGCACGUUGAAGAACAGUGUUGGAGACAUUCUUUUCUUUUUUUUCACUUCAUAAUGAAAACAUUUAUCAUUUCUUUUUUUCUUUCAUCAUCGUUCAUUAUUUAUAUUCAAAUGGCACAGACAGGUUUCAGCUGAAUUGGAGCACAUUUUCAUAUGGUUCUUACAUGAUAUGAUUACCUUAGCUCUAAGCAGGAAGGAAGGCUAAAAAGGGUAAGAUAGAAGUGUGUCCUUCUCUUUUGAGGAUACUAGUAAACUCUGCAUACCGGGUUUUUUUUGGUUCAAAGAAAAUGCCUUUUUGCCAUUCUAGUUUAUGGUGCCAAGUGCCCAAGUUACUGAUAAUGAAACUGAAUUAGGAGCUAGUUAAGCCUUUCAGAAAGGAGUUUUUGACUCCAACUCAUCCUCUCUGCAGAACUUCUCACUCAUCUCUCUUACUUCAAGUUGGAUCUUGCUACCUACGUAUGGCAUAAAAGGAAACUGGAUUUUUGUUUUGUUUUGUUUUAAUUGUUAUAUUUUAUUUCAUUUCCAUAGCAGGACAGAAAGUGUCAAAGCAAUGCCGUAUUUUACGGACUGCUCUUUUGUUAAUGAAAAUAUCUUAAGUGUCUGCAGUCCAGAUGUUUGACAGCCUUAUUUUAUGUCUUAAUUGUUAAGACUAGGAAGAGGCUUAGCGUGAAAUUCUGUUUGCUACUGUAAUGAAUAACAUAUGAGGAGGGAAGCAAAGUGUGGUGAAAAGUAUAGGCAGGACAUUACAAAAGUUAGUGGUGUACUAGCGUUUGAGUAAACACCAACGUAAGAAUGGAGCAGAAUGCAAAGAUAGUGCAUGACAUACAGCCUGUGGAGCAGCAAGACAUCAGCACAGACUAAAGCCUGCAGCUCCACAGGUAUCCCAGCUUGCUUCCACCAUUCCAACCACAACACCAAGGAGAAGAUGGUGACUUCUUACAGCUGUGCCUUAAUUGUUAUCCUAUAGAUUCCAGCAUUGCUGCUUUUCACUAAGUCCUUGGAAACAGUUUGUACUGAGAUUCAAAAGUGAAAAUGAUAGAAGUGAACUGAAGUUGAAAUCCACCCCCGCUGCCAUCAUGGUGGGUAAUACAAGGCUACAACAUCUUUUGGCUUGCACCUCACUUUGUUGGUGUGUGAAGGCAGGCUCAAAUGUUCUGUUGAAGUAUGCACCUUUUUCUUUCUCUGCUGUACUCAGGUUUGUGCAAAGGUAGUAGACAUGCCAGUGUUUUUCACACCUCCUUGGGAGAUAGAUACACUACAAUAGAGGGAGAUAGGCCCCUUCUCUUCUCCUAUGCAUGGAAAAUAUUAACGAAAGGACAGAAAACAGUGUAUGCAAGGAGUUUUGUCAUCUCAUUUUUCCCUACCCACUCACCUACACAAGUAAGACAAACUAGCCUGUUUUCUUUUUCCCUAUUAACGCCUACUUCAUACACAGGGGUUUUAUAGGUUGGUGUCAUUGUAAAGACUGAGUCCGUUAUAUUUUCCUCUACCAUUUUUAUCAAUCACCUUGGCUUUACUUUCCCCCACUUUUAGAAAGGGAGAAAGCUGAGAAAAUCACAAUUUUACAGCUUCAAAAGUCAGUUUAUUUGUUGUUUGGAGAAAGAAGUAUAGUUCUAUGAAGAAAAAAAGGUCUGUCUUCUUUUUUGCUGCUCUUUGAUAGGGGAAUUGUUAUACACCACUGAGUACCUUUUUGGUACCAAAAAAAUUAUGUUAUUUUAAUAAUGGUUUAAUAAGCCUUUUCCUUGAAAAAGAAGUUGAAUUUAUAAAGCACUGGUUUUGUCCAGACUUGAAUCUUCUGAUUUUGGGAGUUACCCAUAAUAAAUAGCAAAAUAGAAUGGUGUUAUGAAGAGAGAAAACUACAGGUGCAUGAAAAAAUCAGUGCAGUGUUUGUCUAAAGAUAUGAAUGCUUUAGCAUUCUCUCACAGUCACAUUCAUCAAAGUCCUUUGUCUAUGACAACAUCAAUUCUAUGUUUAAUUCUUCCCAUUGGAAGUAUAUUUAGUAGCAGGUUUUCAUGUUCAGUGAAAGCUCUUGAAAAUGAAAUUGGUUUCCUGCAGGGCAUGCAUUACAAUGAUGGAAAUCCAGGUCAAUUAAACUGAAGUUGAUGAUGCUACCCUAGAUUUACAUAUCUGUAAUGGAGAAUACAGUCUGGCUCCAAAUGCGUAUGAAAUCCCAGCUAAUGUAGAACUGGCAUGGAAAAGAAUAACUUUUAAUGCGACCUUUCAUAAAUUUUCUCAGAAGUUUUUUUUUUAAAGGAACAAGUGCACAUUGGUCAAGUAUCAGACAGUGGUGCUGUUGAUUCCAGAUUGCAUGUGUAUUACUCACAGAUCCAGCUGUCUAUCUUCAUUUACACUCACCUUUGGAGUCAUUGGUCCCUCAAACUGAAACAGAAGCAGUUGUACCCAGAGGGGAUGCAGGACUUUGUCCAACUUGAUUUUAGUGGCUGGACAUCUGUUCAGACAAGAGAGAAAGCUAUCAAGUGCAUCUGCGAUCAGUGAGGAAGGAAAUUGAAUUUGUGUUGAAGUCCUACCAGGUCAAAUGGUUCACUGCAGCUUUUUCUUCUCCUUCUGUUAUCACAUACGCAGCUCCUCUACCAGCUAGAAAAAAGACUGAGAGCAAAUAUUGCUCUUAGAAGAUUAAAUACUAUUUGAUGAUGCAGAGGUUGAAGAGCUGAUCCUCAACUAACCUGUGAUGAACGGCUUGAUAAUUGGCCACUUUCUACAAAUGUUAGACUCCUCCAAAAAUAUAUUGUUAUUCAAGAAGUUGAUAAUCCCAAAAUGUUAGCCCUAUUUUUUCUUCUGGUAUUGAAUUAUUUUCUAUACACCAAGUCACCUGCUGAAGAAAGGGCGGAAAGAAGUCAAAGAUUUUUUUUUUCUUUAAUGACUUUUAUAACAACAUAUUGCUGAGGCUUUAAAAUAAAUAUAAUUUUUAUUAGUUGUCUUACAGACAUCUCACAAGCUAAUCUUGUUUUUUGUUGAUUGAAUGCCACUCGUCAAAUGUCUUGCUGAAUACUUGAUACACUUUCAAACUGUGCUUUUGUGUGCUCUCCAUUUUCCCUCUACAGCAAUUGCUGAGAAUAAUUAGGUACACUAGAACACGGAAUGCUUUUUUUGGAUACUUACUUAUUCACAUAACUGGAUUUGCAAGGUGAUGUGAAAGAACUGAAUAGGUCAUUUUUUUAAUGAAUGAAGGAAGAAGUAAAAUUCAACUUUUCAACUAUUUCACUAUUUUUUUCUCUUUCAUGUUUCUUUUUGUUGCUAGUCUUUUAACCCUCCUUUUGCUGCUUCAGCUUUUUGUGUUAAUUCUCCUCUGUUCUCCUCCAUUUGCUUCCAAAGACUCCUAGGAAGACCUAUCUGAAAUUUUAUUUUUAGAAAGAAAAUAGACGUAGAUAGUAAUAUCAAUUACCAGAAAAGAGGACUGUAAGGAAUCACCUGAAUUACUGAGUCCAGUCCUCUGGAAUUGGCAACCUUAGUAAUAGACAUUUACUCCAAGAGGAUCUGCAACAGUUCAGCUCACUAAACAUCACAACAUCCAUGAAGUUCUGAUUAAUAACCUUCACCCUUAUAGGAAAGAACAAUGGUGCAGCUGUAAUACGCCACAGGAAAAAAGUGAGGUACUGGAAUCAUUGCUGAUGUCCUAGAUCCUGCAACAACAAGGGAUUUGCUAGGUGGAUUUCCCAGAUGCUCUUUAGCAGUAUCUUAUUGCCCGCAGAAUAGGGAGUAAAAAAGAACAACCUCCAAUAAUCCCUAUCAGUCUGCUUGAGGUUUUGUCUGCCAUAUGUUCCAUCAAAACUUCCUGCCUUAUAUUUCAUCUCUUAACAGUGACUGGUUUUGAAUACUUCAAAGAAACAAUUAAAAAAGCAGCAUCCACAUUAGUUAUGUGGCAAGGUGGUGAGGUAGGUAAGCAUUGAAAGCUGUGAAAUGUGCAUUAUGUUUACUAAACGCAGUCAAAAGAAAGCAAUCAAGUGAUUUUGCAAAAUGUAGGAUAACAAAUAAGCCACUGACUGUUAAAAGUAUUACAGAACAGUAUUCUUGUGCAAUCAGGAAAAGUUCCUGGAAACUGGUAUUUGAGAACUGUGUAAACAGCCAACAUUUACUCUUCAUGGGGCACUGAUGAAAGCGUAUGAACAUAUGAGCAAGUCUGAAAAUAUGUAGCCAGAGGUAGGGGUCUGUAACUGGUGUGAGUUUUCAUUCCACUCAAGUAAGCAUGGCAUAUCAUGACACAUUUUAAUACUGAAUGGAUUCCAUACGCAUCUGUAGAGUUUUUACUAAGCUGCUGCAGCUUGACGCUCACAGUGUUUCUAUGAAGUAUUGCAGCUGUUGCUCAGAUCUUGGCAUGGUACAACUGAGUAUUUCCCAUAUAGAUGCUUCUUCUCAUCAGCUGCUUUGGUCACAGACUGUCAUUCUCAGUGUCCUUUCACAACUAUUCAAUCUGUGCUUUCUUCAUUCUUCUCAUCAUGAUUAUGCCAUGAGCUACCCCCGAGA